rnacentral:rRNA from 1 species
UUUAUCGGAGAGUUUGAUCCUGGCUCAGGAUGAACGCUGGCGGCGUGCCUAAUACAUGCAAGUCGAGCGAAUGGAUUGAGAGCUUGCUCUCAAGAAGUUAGCGGC